AAAUAUAUUGUCAGCCAAGAAAUAGUAAUGAAAAUUGCCAGCACUGAUGCCCGUUAGGAAAUGAACGGAUCAAUGGUGUCACCUCUUUGACCAAGCAUCAUACAGAUGUGAAUUGAUUGUCAGUUUUAUUGAUCUGUGUCAUUCUCAGAGUUUGAGGUUCUUUUUGUUCAUAGAAAAGUUCUCUAAAUUAUGAAAUGUUAUAAAUUCCUCAUGAUUUGUGUACUAUAAAUCUAGAAAGCAAGAAUCAAUCGCAAUACAUUUUCCUUUUUUUUUAAACAUCGGCUGUGCAUUGUACUUCUGAAAAUGGACACGUUCGAGCUGAUUAACCGUGAUUCCAUGGUCAUGCACCUUAUGACUGCAUCGCUGUGUUAGAUUCACAGGAACCAAUAAUGGGAGCACUUAAGCUGGUGGAAGGAUUCUUCUGUGGUCCUGAGAGCUCUGGUUGCAUUCACGUGUUAGGACUGUGGAGACCAUAAGCAACACAGUGGACCUGAUUUAAGGACCUUUCCUUGAUUGACAGCCUUAGGAUAGGAUCUGUGUUUUAGGAUCCCAGAGAUCUAUAAUAGAAGCUCAAGGUGAGUUCAGCCUCCAUGUUGAUCAAGGUUCUCCUUUUCAGGUUGCUAUGGGACAGAGACCCAGGUGAGCUAUAGCCAGGGUUCCUGUCUUGGUUUGGGGAGUUGGUUUAAGUGUUUUCAUUGUGUUCUUUGAAAGUAGUAAAUAUAAUCAAAAAGUUAACUAUGGCCCAAUGAUAAAUAUCAUAUAAGACCUUAUGUUGAUUAAU